rnacentral:rRNA from 1 species
ACGCUGGCGGCAGGCCUAACACAUGCAAGUCGAGCGGUAGAGAGAAGCUUGCUUCUCUUGAGAGCGGCGGACGGGUGAGUAAUGCCUAGGAAUCUGCCUGGUAGUGGGGGAUAACGUUCGGAAACGGACGCUAAUACCGCAUACGUCCUACGGGAGAAAGCAGGGGACCUUCGGGCCUUGCGCUAUCAGAUGAGCCUAGGUCGGAUUAGCUAGUUGGUGAGGUAAUGGCUCACCAAGGCGACGAUCCGUAACUGGUCUGAGAGGAUGAUCAGUCACACUGGAACUGAGACACGGUCCAGACUCCUACGGGAGGCAGCAGUGGGGAAUAUUGGACAAUGGGCGAAAGCCUGAUCCAGCCAUGCCGCGUGUGUGAAGAAGGUCUUCGGAUUGUAAAGCACUUUAAGUUGGGAGGAAGGGCAGUUACCUAAUACGUGAUUGUUUUGACGUUACCGACAGAAUAAGCACCGGCUAACUCUGUGCCAGCAGCCGCGGUAAUACAGAGGGUGCAAGCGUUAAUCGGAAUUACUGGGCGUAAAGCGCGCGUAGGUGGUUUGUUAAGUUGGAUGUGAAAUCCCCGGGCUCAACCUGGGAACUGCAUUCAAAACUGACUGACUAGAGUAUGGUAGAGGGUGGUGGAAUUUCCUGUGUAGCGGUGAAAUGCGUAGAUAUAGGAAGGAACACCAGUGGCGAAGGCGACCACCUGGACUGAUACUGACACUGAGGUGCGAAGGCGUGGGGAGCAAAC